CUGCUGAUGCUGUUGCUGAUGAUGCUGCUGCAGCAGAUGCUGCGCCUGUGGCUGAUGUGGCGGCUGAUGCUGCGACUGGGAUGCCGCUGCCGCUGCCGCUGCUUGCUCAGCAGCCUCCGCUGCCUGCUGCUGUUGCUGCUGCAGCAACUGCACUUGCUGCAGCUGCGUGGGUGAGCCGGAGCUCGACUCUUCUUCCUGCAGCUUCUUGAGCAAAUGCUGCUGCUGCUGCUGCUGCUGCUGCUGGGUCGGUGG
rnacentral:sRNA from 1 species